UACAGAGGUCUCAAGCGUUGUUCGGAUUCAUUGGGCGUAAAGGGUGCGUAGGCGGCGCGGUAAGUCGGGUGUGAAAUUUCGAGGCUUAACUUCGAAACUGCAUUCGAUACUGCCGUGCUUGAGGACUGGAGAGGAGACUGGAAUUUACGGUGUAGCGGUGAAAUGCGUAGAUAUCGUAAGGAAGACCAGUGGCGAAGGCGGGUCUCUGGACAGUUCCUGACGCUGAGGCACGAAGGCCCAGGGGGAGCAAACGGG
rnacentral:rRNA from 1 species